rnacentral:rRNA from 1 species
UACGUAGGGUGCAAGCGUUAUCCGGAAUUAUUGGGCGUAAAGAGCUCGUAGGCGGUUUGUCGCGUCUGCUGUGAAAAACUGGAGGCUCAACCUCCGCCUGCAGUGGGUACGGGCAGACUAGAGUGCGGUAGGGGAGAUGGAAUUCCUGGUGUAGCGGUUGGAAAUGCGCAGAUAUCAGGAGGAACACCGGUAGUCGGAGCGGGAAUCGAC